rnacentral:rRNA from 1 species
GAGUUUGAUCCUGGCUCAGGACGAACGCUGGCGGCGUGCUUAACACAUGCAAGUCGAACGAUGAUCCGGUGCUUGCACCGGGGAUUAGUGGCGAACGGGUGAGUAACACGUGAGUAACCUGCCCUUGACUCUGGGAUAAGCCUGGGAAAACCGGGUCUAAUACCGGAUAUGACUUCUCACCGCAUGGUGGGGGGUGGAAAGAUUUUUUGGUUUUGGAUGGACUCGCGGCCUAUCAGCUUGUUGGUGGGGUAAUGGCCUACCAAGGCGACGACGGGUAGCCGGCCUGAGAGGGUGACCGGCCACACUGGGACUGAGACACGGCCCAGACUCCUACGGGAGGCAGCAGUGGGGAAUAUUGCACAAUGGGCGCAAGCCUGAUGCAGCGACGCCGCGUGAGGGAUGAC